rnacentral:rRNA from 1 species
UAACACAUGCAAGUCGUACGGGAGUUUUUAACUCAAGUGGCGGACGGGUGAGUAACACGUGGAAUUUACCUUUAGGAGGGGGACAACAACUGGAAACGGUUGCUAAUACCCCAUAUGCUUUCGAGUGAAAUGAAUUUAUUCGCCUGAAGAGAAGCUCGCGCCUGAUUAGCUUGUUGGUAGGGUAAGAGCCUACCAAGGCGACGAUCAGUAUCUGGUUUGAGAGGACGAUCAGACACACUGGAACUGAGACACGGUCCAGACUCCUACGGGAGGCAGCAGUGGGGAAUUUUCCGCAAUGGGCGAAAGCCUGACGGAGCAAUACCGCGUGAGGGAAGACGGCCUAUGGGUUGUAAACCUCUUUUUUCAGGGAGGAAUUCAAUGACGUGUACCUGAAGAAUAAGCAUCGGCUAACUCCGUGCCAGCAGCGG